AACAUUUUCAUGAAAAGUUUAAUGUAAAUGUACAUGAACAAAUCUCAGUUAAAAACUUCAAAGAACAAAAAGCUAUGGUCAGUUAAUCAUGAUGUAUAAAUAUACACGGAGUUUUACUUUUUCUAUCAAUUCUUUAUGAUAUGGACAUGUUUUUAAUCUUCAUAUUUCUAUGUAUGAAUAUUUUCAUUAUUUUUUUUUUUUGACUGAAGAGAUUUUUUUCCCGAAACAUUGUAAUGAUGAUGGGGGAAUAAGGCAUAUAAAAUGCCUAUACAUGUAUCAGGAUGGAUAAGAUACUGAAAAAUAUCGACAAAUCUGAUAAUUCUUUUACAAAAAAUAACCCUUAAAUAGGUUCAAUACUUGGAAUAUAUUGGUUUUAACUGCUGUAUCUGUACCAAAAUCUUCAACUAGUAUCAUUUUUUUUAGACCCUCAAUGCCAUUUUUUUAUAGAGUGGAUCUGUUAAAUAUAUUUUUUGUCUUAGUAUAAUUAAGGUCAAAUAGAAGUCGAAUCAUUUUCAAUCAACAAAAACUUUGAAUGAUGAUCAAUAUACAUUAGAAAUAACAUUUUGUAUCCCAACAAUUGAUAUUUUAGGAAAAUAAUACCAAUCCAUAAAUUUGUAUGCAAAGUCACGUAUAGCAUUUACAUAAGGCAUUUUGUAGAUACUGAAAUGGCUCAGUGGUUGGAGCAUCAAACCUUUGAUAUCUCUUAAGAGCUAGGCAUUUUGGGUUGAGGCUUCGAUACCAUCAAAACUUGCAUCAAAUAUUUUCUUAUUUUCUUUGUGUCAUUUGAAGUUAACCGACUUUAGUAAGAAAUUAUGCUUUUGCAAAAUUGUAUUAUAUUAUUAAAAGAUAAAUUUUGGUGUGAAAAAAACCCCUUUACAAAUUGUGUUUUACGAUUAAACCAAUGGGCAUUUGCACCAUCUUAUUCCCCCAUCUUCUUUAUCUAAAUUGAAUCAGUUGAAUUAAAUCAGUUUAAUUAUACAUAAAUGUUUAUCGAUUAAUAAUGCACAAAAGAUGUGCAAGUGUAAUGCCAGGUAGAUUAUUCAUUUCAUGUUUCAUAUGUACAUGCAGUAUUUGUGUAGAUUGCCAGAUUUGAUUUAAUGCUGUGAUUUUAGUUAGAAAAGUUUCAUGUUACAUCACCUGUUGAGUAUAUCAUAUAUACGUGUAUGCUGAUAACUACUUGCAAUACCAACAUUCUUUCUUGAACUGUUAUAGUAACAUUGUUAAUUUAUGUAUUACUUUAUGAUGCAAAAUAAUAUAAAAUUUCAUUGAAGUU
rnacentral:sRNA from 1 species